GCAUAGCAUCAUUUUAUUAUAUAUAUAGUUUUUCAAAUGUGACACACCAAAUUUGGUCCAAUAAAUCAGCAGAAGAGCAGAAAAUACACAGUUAAGAGUAAAACACACGGGCCACACACGCACGGGCGCGCAUCAUCAAAGAAUCAUCGAUGAAACGCAUAACGAUUAAUCAAUUUAUCGAUAUCGACGAAGCGGCAGCAGCAGCAGCAGCAGCACAACAGCAUCCUUCAAGAACUAAACGAACUACAACAACAGCAACAACAGCAACAACAACAACAGAAUUGAUCGUUCAGAUCGAUUAAAGGGUAUUGUUCAGGUCGAGGUCGUACUCGGGGCCUCGCGUUCGCUCGCGCACACACACACACACACAAAACACUUUGUCGUGCGUUUUUUUUGUUUUUGUUUUUUGUUCGUUGUUUGUUGUCUCUUUGCCAGCAUUGGCACACGCUUUGACACGUGUGUUGAAUCUUGGUGUUAUUUCAUUUGUCCAUUAAUGCCAACUACUCUUUAUCGUUGUUAUUUUCCUAAUUUCGUGUUGCCCCGUCGGACCGAUCGAACGUUGAUGUUAACGUGUCGCUUGCAACGUGACGAUACCGAUAACGAUAACGAUACCGAUACCGAUACCAAUUGCACACAAAUAACCAACAAUUUCAAAUCGCUGGCAUAUCGAAAACAGAACAUAACGCAAACAAUUGCAGCCAACAGCAACAAUAACAGCAGUAAUAACAGUAACAACAGUAACAGUAAACGUAAACAUAACCGUAACAGUAACCAUAACAGUGUGACCCACUGUAACUGCAAGAAUAACAUUAACAGAUUUGCAGAGAGUGCAAACAGAACUGUUAACAAGAAGAAGAUCCUGUUAGCCACUGUGGUGUGUGUGCCAACUGCCUGGGUAAACGACAUCAACCUGACGCCGCCCAAGCAAUCGAAGUUGUCGUUGACGUUGACGUGGACGUUGCCAUUGCCAUUGCAAUUUCUGGCCGCGCUCGUUCAGCUCCUGCUCGUGACAACGAACCAUAAAAGCGAGCUGCAUCAUAUGCUGUGCGAUUUAACCAUCCAGCGACAUACUGUGGCCAUUACCUAUGACCUCAGCCUCAGCGAUAGCGAAGCGUUAACAAUAUUUUUGAUGUGGUCUAACUUUUGGUUAAGCUUUGCUUCAAAAUUACUGCGUAUAAAAAGAAGAAGAGAGAGCCGAUGCUAGCAGCUCCAUUAAGCUCUCGAUGAGGCGGCAUUGAAAGGCUGGCGUAAGAGCGAGCAACCGAUCGAUCGUUCUAGCCCCCAACAUCCACACCCUUCCCCCUCCCAACCAACCAACCUAUAACAAACCCAACCCAACAUCCAAACAACUCGAAGAUCAAGCUAGUUUCAAGAUUCCAAAGCAAAGCAAAGCAAACCAUUGCGGCUCAGUCCAGUUGUCCAGUGUACUUAGUUGUGUCGAAGUGGGUUACCAAUGUUUACUUGCUAUGCACCGUUCCGAAAGCUGGCCUAACUGUAUACCUAUGUGGAAACACCAGCAAAAAAAGGCGCACCUCCAAUUCCACAAAAACGGAGUAAAGGCUUCGAACUGUGCAUGAAUUCAAAGAGGCG